rnacentral:rRNA from 1 species
UACAGAGGUCCCAAGCGUUGUUCGGAUUCAUUGGGCGUAAAGGGUGCGUAGGUGGCGCGGUAAGUCGGGUGUGAAAUCUCGGGGCUUAACUCCGAAACUGCAUUCGAUACUGCCGUGCUUGAGGACUGGAGAGGAGACUGGAAUUUACGGUGUAGCGGUGAAAUGCGUAGAUAUCGUAAGGAAGACCAGUGGCGAAGGCGGGUCUCUGGACAGUUCCUGACGCUGAGGCACGAAGGCCAGGGGAGCAAACGGG